rnacentral:tRNA from 1 species
AAAUGAGAAAUGAUGAAUCAUGAUUAAUUUCGACUUAAUUUUAGGUGUGUACGCCCUCAUUUU